rnacentral:rRNA from 1 species
UACGUAGGGUGCAAGCGUUGUCCGGAAUUAUUGGGCGUAAAGAGCUCGUAGGCGGUUUGUCGCGUCUGCUGUGAAAACUCAGGGCUUAACCCUGAGCCUGCAGUGGGUACGGGCAGACUAGAGUGUGGUAGGGGAGAUCGGAAUUCCCGGUGUAGCGGUGAAAUGCGCAGAUAUCGGGAGGAACACCGGUGGCGAAGGCGGUUCUCUGGGCCUUACCUGACGCUGAGGAGCGAAAGCGUGGGGAGCGAACAGG